GGCCGCCGCGCCACGGGGCGCGCUGACCGCUGGCGGCAGCUGGCGGGCGCAUGUUGGGGCUCGCGACGAGACGGCACUGCCCGAGGAGGCUGCGGCGCGGCCGAGGGGCGCUGCUGGCGCUGCUGGCCCUGCUCACGCUGGCAGGGCUGGGCGCGGUGCUGAAGACUCAGCGUGGGGCCGGGGCCGCUCGGCAGGAACCCCCGCGCGCUUCGCGCCCCGGACGCCUGGAGCCGGUGCUACAGCGGCCGCCGGUUCCCCCAGAUGCGCUGGGAGCGCAGGGCGAGGCGGUGCGGCUGCAGCUGCAGGGCGAGGAUCUUCUGCUGCAGGAAGAGAGCGUGCGGCUGCACCAGAUCAACACCUACCUCAGCGACCGCAUCUCGCUGCACCGCCGCCUGCCCGAGCGCUGGAACCCGCUGUGCAAAGAGAAGAAAUAUGAUUAUGAAAAUUUGCCCACAACAUCUGUUAUCAUAGCAUUUUAUAAUGAAGCCUGGUCAACUCUCCUUCGGACGGUGUACAGUGUUCUGGAGACAUCCCCAGACAUCCUGGUGGAAGAAGUUAUACUGGUAGAUGACUACAGUGACAAAGAGCACCUGAAGGAGCGCCUGGCCGAGGAGCUGUCGGCUCUGCCCAAGGUGCGCCUGAUCCGAGCCACCAAGAGGGAGGGCCUGGUGCGGGCCCGGCUGCUGGGGGCUUCUGUGGCCAGGGGUGACGUGCUGACCUUCCUGGACUGUCACUGUGAGUGCCACGAGGGUUGGCUGGAGCCACUGCUGCAGAGGGUCUGCCAUGAUGGUCACCUGCCACCUCUCACCCUCCCAACACACAGCUGGGGACUCUGGAUAAGGGAAGCUGGCUUCUCACACAGGAUCCACGAGAAGGAGUCAGCAGUGGUGUGCCCCGUGAUCGAUGUCAUCGACUGGAACACCUUCGAGUACUUGGGCAACUCUAGGGAGCCCCAGGUUGGCGGCUUCAAUUGGCAGCUAGUGUUCACGUGGCACGUGGUUCCUGAGAGGGACAGGUUGCUGAUGAAGUCCCCCAUCGAUGUCAUCAGGUCUCCAACGAUGGCUGGUGGGCUAUUUGCUGUGAGUAAGAAAUAUUUUGAAUAUCUGGGGUCUUAUGACACAGGAAUGGAAGUUUGGGGAGGAGAAAACCUCGAAUUCUCCUUUAGGAUCUGGCAGUGUGGCGGAACUUUGGAAACACACCCGUGCUCCCAUGUUGGUCAUGUUUUCCCCAAGCAAGCUCCCUACUCCCGCAGCAAGGCCCUGGCCAACAGCGUUCGAGCAGCUGAAGUGUGGAUGGAUGAGUUCAAAGAGCUCUACUACCACCGCACCCCCCGAGCACGCCUGGAGCCCUAUGGGGAUGUGACCGAGAGGAGGCAGCUCCGGGCCAAGCUGCACUGUAAGGACUUCCGGUGGUUCCUGGAGACUGUGUAUCCAGAACUGCACGUACCAGAGGACAGACCUGGCUUCUUCGGGAUGCUCCAGAACAAAGGACUAAAGGAAUACUGCUUUGACUAUAACCCUCCCAAUGAAAACCAGGUUGAGGGACACCAGGUCAUUCUGUAUGCCUGCCAUGGGAUGGGCCAGAACCAGUUUUUUGAAUACACAUCCCAGAAGGAAAUCCGCUAUAACACCCACCAGCCCGAGACCUGUGUAGCCGUGGAAGCAGGAACAGACGUUCUCAUCAUGCAUCUGUGUGAAGACACUGCCCCGGCGGAUCAGAAGUUCCUCCUGCAAGAGGAUGGUUCUUUAUUUCAUGAACAGUCCAAGAAAUGUGUCCAGGCUGUGAGGAAGGAGGUCAGCAACAGUUUCGUCCCGCUUUUACGAGACUGCACCAGCUCGGAUCAUCAGAAAUGGUUCUUCCAGGAACGCAUGCCAUAGACGCUGGGCUCCCAUGGAGAGGCCUAGCAAACACAGGGACCAGAGCCCUCCACAGACUUGGCAGCUCCACUUCUUUACCUUUGUGGCUCUUCUCUGAACUGUGUUCAGUUCAUUCCACCAAGAUGGCCGCUCUAGGGGAGCCCUGGCCAGAAGGAGAGUGGGGCCCAGGUGUACCGACCAGGUGUGACACAGGAGAGGCAGCACAGUAAAACACAUGGAUCACAGAUCCCAGACAGAAGAGGGCAGCAGUCCUGGCAGGAACAACAAGAAGAGGACAGAUGAAAAGAACAUGGCUGCCGGCACAAGAUAAGCCACAAAUACUGUCCAGGUCCCUCUGUGUGUCCAGCACUGAGCCACACAUAUCCAUGGUCAUCUCCCUGAGUCCCCACAAAAGGUCUCACACUCAUCCACAUGGAAACUGAGGUCCAGAGAGAAGUGAGAACAUGCUCAAGGCCACUGAUGGCUGGGACCAGGACUCAGGUACAAGCCCCACGCCAAGACUAUAAUUCACAGCUCACCUUGCACCAGAGGAGGACCUGAAAGGUGAGAGGAGAUCUGGAAGGUGAAGGGAAGCAACAUACAGAUGUUCCUGGAUUUGUGAUGUGGCUUCAUCUUCCAUAUCCAGCCCUCUGUCUGGCACUGUGGAUCCCCAGAUGAUUAAGGCAUGGCAUCUGCUGUGAGAGACAGACAGACAGACAGACAGACAGAUAGGCAGAGAAGAGGAUAAACAACUGCUCUCCCAGUCCAGGUUACAAGAUCACUUUGAAGGUGUUCACAGGGUGAUGGGUGACCCAAAGGAACAGCCAUGACUGUUGUUUGGGAAGCCGUGAGGGAGGAGCAUGGGGCUGCAGUUUGAGUUGGUCCAUGAGGGUGAGUAAAAGUUCUCCAGAGAGAGAUGAUAAGGCAGGGCACUCCAAGUAGAGGAAUUGCUCUACUCUGCUUGCUCAAACCUCAGCACUGUGCAGGAGAUUGUGUGGGGAGCUGAGGGCUCUGUGUGGUGGGUACCCUAUGUGUGGGCCAUCAUGGUCAUGUGGGCUGGGAAAUGGGUUAGGGACUUGCUUUGCUGCAACGUGGCCUGCCAGAGGUCACCUCUCUUCUGAGGAGGGCUGAGCAAGGAAGAGACAACUGCUUUGUGAACACUUUGUGUAUUUAUUUCCUCUGUUUUCCUCACAUCUCUCUUCUUCUCCCCUGAAGAGCUGCCUCCUGGUUUCAUUUAUUUUCCACAGGAAACUGAAAAGAGCAACAUCUGUCUAAAUUCCCCCUAAGUUGCUCCAGAUUUCCAAGGUCAGAGUGUGGCCCCUAAGAGGCAGGGUCUCUGUGGGGUCAGAGGUGAUGGCCCCAGAAUUGGUGGGUUUGUGCCGAGUCCAGUGUGAUGGCAGGGUCUGGUGCAAGCUCCCUGCACAAUACAGAUGUUCAGCAAGAAUUUUGCUGGGAGCAUAAUCAGCGGCUGCGGCGUCCCCUGGAGAGGAGAGUGCAGGCCUGGUUCCCACGGGCUCCUUCCCAGUGCUCAAAUGUUCCUGAGUUCAUGUUCCUGGGAGAGGGGGCGGCCAAGCGAGUGCUCCAAGUCCCUGGCAGCUGCUCCUGCUGGGGAAGCCGAUCACCACUCUCCUCAUAUGGCCUUGGGACAUUGGACGUUGUUUGGUGCACAGAUGCACAAUCAUGGCAUUUGUUCAGGGAGCACUUUCUCUCCUGCCACAUUAUGGGAGGCAGCUUGGAGCUGAUCUAGGGAUUGGGUUCUGGUCCUUGGGAAAGUGGCUCCUUCUCUUUGAGGCUCAGUUUCCUCAUCUGUAAAACAAAGUGCCCCAGCCUAGGUGGCUCUGGGGGUGUGUGCAGACUGGGUGUGGACUUCAGAGUCAUGCAGAUGAAGCUGUGGUCCUCCCUGUGCUAUUUGGCUGUGUGUUCCUGUACAGGUCCCUGACAUUGUGGGCCACCAUGUCCUCAUCUGUGCCAAAUGGCCUCUGGCUUUGUGGACCCAGUGAUGACAGGAGCACCCACCCUCCAUGAGGAUGCUGAGGAAAAGGGUCUAUUUCCUCAUCUUGGGCAAAACAGCUUUAAGUCUGUGCCUGUGGGAACUAAGCAGAGUCAGUGCAAAAGAACUGGUCUUUGUCCCCCUAUCCACCCCCUGCCCCAAGUCUCCCCAGAACAACAGAAUAUUCUUCCUAAGCAAGACUGGUUGGCUCCUGAGAGUGUCCUCAGAAGCUGUGGAGUCCUGCCACCUGCUUCCCACCAUGUCUGUCCUCUCACUCUGGCAGUGUUCAGACCCUGAAUGGUCCCAGCCUGGCCUGCUCUGGUGCCUCCAGAGCCUGUCUUCUUCCCCAGUCCCGAACCAGGGAAAAGCAAGUGCUGUUUGUACAGAUGGUGUCAGCCUUCCUGUCCUGCUUGGAGGAUACCACCCCUCCCCAUGCUGAGCCUCCACAGGGAGGUUCCCAGGUCUGGAACACUUCUACCUCCUUCCAGCCUUCUGCUGUCUCCUCCUCUUUAAAAUGGGCCUGAGCAUCCCUGUUGUUCUGAGACAGGCUGGCACUUGCAGACAUCCUGUUGGUCCCCCUCAUCUCUCACAGUGCCUGGCUCUUUCUCUUCAGAGAAUCAUCAUGUUUGUACCCACAGUGGAUCUUGCGCUUAUUCCUUUGACUACUGACUCAAAAAUAUGUUAUAUAUGCGAGAAGGGCAGGGGUCACACUGGUUUCCUGUAUCCCCAUUGCUUUGUGUAUUGCCUGGUAAAUAGUUUCGAUGAAUAACUGUUGAACCUGUGAGAGAAGGACUCCCUCAGAGAAUCUAGAAUUUGGUGGCAAACAACCCCAGCAGGAAGGGAGGCACCCCAAAGCUUGUAUGGCACGUAGUCUUUGGUGCCAGCAUCUUGGGACCCGAUUCUGCCCUCACCCUCCAGGUUCUGGAAGGAUGAGCCAUUUUCCCCACAGCCCUGGGAGGAGAGUUUCCUCAGAAAGAGAGGAUGGACAUCGAGCUUCAAGUGUUUCUGGGAGGCUAAGGAAGAGGCAGACUGAGACGCAUCUGUGAGACUCAGUGCAGGGAGGUUAUGGUGACCUUGAUAAACAGUUUCAAAGGACUGAGGAUCAGAAAUCAGGCUGCAGGGGAGUGAGCAGGAGGCCAGGAAGUGGAGACUAUGAGUCUGAUAACUAUUUCUAGUUACUAGACCAAAAAUGGGAGGAGAGAUGACAGUAGCUGUUUCUGACCAAGCUGGAUCACAUCAAAACUAAUUGGGAAAUUUUCUGAAUAAUAAAAAUGAUUCAUGUACUAGAUGGCUAGAAGGAUAAGAUGCCUCAGCUUCUCAUCUUAAUUCUCACUGAAAACUAGGAUAUCAGAGUUGAAAGGACCUCAAAGGCCACAGGAUUCCAACACAGCCCUCUCAUUCAGUAUAGGAGAGGCCUGAGGCUCAGAGAGGGGCAGGGACCUGCCCAAGGUCACACACAGCAGAUAAAGGACAGAGCCUGCUGGAACUGAGGCCCCUGUAUGCCCAACCCAGGACUCUUUUUCCAUAUUCCACAUCUUUUUUUCCCCUCUGUCCUUUCUAAGCAGCCUUUAUUGGCUCCAGGAAAUGGAAAGGAUAAUUAUUUUUAGUUUAUUCAAAAUGAAUAAAAUGGGUAAUGGGUUUUUCUUUCCCAUAUAUCAGAUCCAAAGUGAGUCUUAUGUAAGAGCUGAGUGGAUGAGAAACGGUUUCACAGUGAGAACAAUGAUUCUUUUGAAUAUUACAAGCUCCAGGGUGAACCCCAAAUUAGCCUGAUGAUUGGGUUCAGCUCUCCUCCCCCAACUGACGGAAAAGACAGGGUAGAGUCACAUGCAUGUGUAUGUGUGUGAGUGAGGGGCAGGGAGGGGAGAGAGAGAGAGAGACAGAGAGAGACAGAGAACAUAUGUUCAGAGCAGGCUCUCUGCAGAGUGUUUCCCAGAGCACCAGGACAAAUGCCCUGACCCUGAACCUCCUCAGUGCUGAUUGUGAUUAUUAUUAUUAAUGGCAGUGAAUUGCAUAUAAGAUUUACCAUUAUAAUACUUUCUAAGUGCACACAUGGUUUUGUAGUUUUAAGCAUAUUCACAUUGUUGUGAAAUCAUCACCACCACCAUCUUCAGAACUCUUUUCAUCUUAUAGAACUGAAACUCUGAACCCAUUGAAUAAUAACUCCCUCUUCCCCCCAGCCCACUGCCACUUCUCUGGUUCCUGUCUCUAUGACUCUGAUUACUCAAGGUAACUCGUGUAAGUGAAAUCACAUAGAAUUUGUCCUUUCAUGACUGACAUGUCUCAUUUUCCAGACUUCUUUGAAUGUACUCCCCGUGUGCCCCACCUCACCAUUAGGAAUCCCCUGCUGAAGAGAGGCAGGCAUCCCUGGGAAGAAAGCACAUCAUGCUUUACUGAUACUUUUUCUUUAAUGCCAACUAGUAGAUGAUUUCUUGAGAGCAGGUUUUAAUGGAGUAUGGGUGACUAUAUUGAAAGCCUUGAUUGACUACGAGUAGGAAGAGGGAGAGAUAUUCAUAAUGGGAAAAAAAUCAUCAGGUUUGAAAAAAAUAUGGCUGGGGGCUGGGGAUUUAGCUCAGUGGUUCUGCCGCCUGCCUCGAAAGCACAAGGAGUGGACUUUGAUCCCCAGUACCAAAAAAUAUAUAUAUAUAUGGCUGGGAUCAUUACAAGUGACUCUGUGGUACAGCAAUUAGUUUUAUAACAGUCAUUUCCUAAAUUUAUGUCUUUGGGUCUAUUGACCUCAUAUCUUUCUCUGACUUAAUCCUUGGGGAGUUAUAACUGAGAUGCUCUCAAGAAACCUAGUGAUACUCAUAAAUAAUGAUCUUGUACUUGGGCUUCCUUCUACAAUUUAGGAGACUCUUUUAUUUCUAUUAUUUUAUUUGAUCCAAAUGACAAGAGUAGAUGGUAGUUAGAUAGGACUUAUCUCCAUUUUUCAGGAGGGGAAACAGGUUUAGCGGGCUGACAGGACCUGCUCAGGAUUAUAAAAAUCACUUACUGGUAAUGCUGGAUGGUGAACCCAAGUCUUUAGACCCAGGAUCUUUCUCAGCUCCAUAUUUUGCUAGCAUUUAUUAACUUAAAAUGCCUAAGGGUGUCAUGUAAUUGCACAUGUCUGGUUCUCUCCCACCACCUCCCUCUUAACUUCAGACCCAGUCCUUCUCCAAGAAUGAUGUGUCAUCAACCAGAUGCUCAAAUUAGAAAGUCCAGAGUUGUCCUUGACAUUUCCUUCUCCUGUUCCACAGCCAGUCUUCAAUCAAGUCCUGUGGUUUGUAAUUCCUAACUGUGCUUCAGUAUGCCCACUUCUCUGCAAUUCUGGGCCACCAGAGUGCAUGCCUCUGUCUCUUAUCUGGAGAUGAAGCUUCAUAUGGCUGUGAUGUCUAUUUCUUUGUUCUUUUCUUCUUCAGUGAUUUCUCAGGAAAUGUGAAUUUGAAUGACAUGGUGUUAAACAAGCUUUUGUGGUGUAGGAUUUCUCAGAGCCUUUUGCACACUAACAAUGAGCAGGAUGACUUGCCAACAUGGGGGAGUGUAUUUGGCAUGUCCCAAACUUAGGUGAUCAGUGUUGCACCUUGUUCUUUCUACCCAUCUGGUCUCUACAUGGACCUCUACUAACUGCAAGGCCCAUUAUGCUGCUUUCCCUCAUCCAUCCCUCCUGUCAUACUGGCCUUUUGAUUUCUCUGAGUGUCCUAGGAGGCUCCACUGGUGCCCUCCAGGUCCCCUUUGCUAAACUGGUGCACCCCCAUCCCUGGCCACAAGAGCUGCUGGCAGCUCACACUUCUGAGGAGCCACCUCACUAAAGAAUCCACAGCCCCCCACAGUCCAGAAGCAUCUUAUAAGCAAGUCUGACCUGGUGAAUGGGUUCACAGAGGGCCAUCCCACCCUUGCCUCCAGCAUAGAAAUCUGCUGUGCAAUUUGUGUCACCAAGCUACUGUACAGAGCAACAGGAUCAGACUGUCUUGGAGAUAACAUCCUUGUCCAACCCUCUCCUCUUCACUUCCUUGCCUUCCCCACUCCCUAGAGGUUUUUCCUAAAAGACACUUCCUGUCCCAGCAUCUGCUUUUCAGAAGCUCUACCUAGGAUAGGCGCCACACUCCUUAGCCACUGUAAGGGUCUCUUUUCAUGGUGUCAGACACCUUUGACUUCUCUCCUAAAGUAGGUCCUGUCUAUCACAGCAUGGGCUCUGUUUGUAAGAGUCCCCUCAUAUGAAUGACUAAGGUCUUCUCUCCAACCAAUAACUCCAGGAGGACCACCAUGUCUUUCUGUCCACUGCUCCAUCCCCCAUGCCUGAUAAGGAUUUAAGAUGUGUCGAAUCAAAGAGAGAAAACACCAUAGAUAUAUAGAAUGCAAAUGAAAAAAAUCUGUCAAAUAUGGCAGGCAGCAAGUUAAUAUCUAGAAUAUAUUAAAAGCAUUGGCAAACAAGAAGAGGCAAACAUGUUAAUGUAGAAAAGUAUAUGAGCAGACACAUCUCACAUGCACAUUCACACAUACACACCCACAAAUGGAGAUGAUCUCUAAACCUUUGGGAAAGUUUGUUUAUCAAAGAAUAGCAAAUUAAAACAAUAGCAAAAGAACUUUUCUUUUUUGACUGUUGCAUUGCCAAAGAUUUGUGUUUAUGAAAAGAUCAUCAUGGUGGAGGUAAAGAGCUAGUCAGGUGUUCUCAGAUGUAACUGGUGGCAGGAUAUGUUGGUACUGCCAUCAGAACAUGGUUCCCAGGGCAGAGUUUGUUUCUUUAUCCACCAGGUCCUCCAGUGCCCAGAACCCAGGGCUCUCCUGCACUCAAUUAACAUUUCUUGAACAAAUGGAAGGCAAGUUGUCAAUAUAGACAAUGAAACGCAAGUCUUUUAUAUCCCCCCAUCUGGUAACUCUACUUCCUAAAGAAACCCUUAGAAAUUAGAACAAAGGAUAUCGCUCACAUUCAUUUAUAAGCUCAGACACCUGGAAACAGGUUGUUUUCCACAGGCUGGCUACUAGUUUACUUAUGGUGUAUCCAUAUUAAGAAAUACAGCUGAUUAAAAUUAUAUAUCUGGAGAAUGUUAGAUUAUGUUAUUGAUAAAUACUGAAUAAAAAGAAUUUAAGACCCUAUAUACAGUAUAACCUCAAUCUUUGUAAGAAAAACAAUUUUUAAUGAUGAGUUGAAGGAGUUUUUCUGUGGUUUUUAUUUAUUUGUUUAUUUAUUUACUUUUGCUUUCCUCUUAUUUUCCAAAAUUUGAACAGUGAAUAUGUAUUACUUUUGUAGCCAAGGGGCAAAGCGGGGAGAAAGCUUUGAGAAAGAAAGUAUGGUUAAUGACAAAAUUUCAACCAGCCAGGAAAAGUGGUAAUGACUUAUAAUAGUGUUUUUCCUAUUAAUGCAUCAUAAUAGAUCAUUUCAUGGUGGGUAAGGAACAUUCCCCCUUAUUAAAUUGGCCUGACUUUAUUUAGACAACAAUGAGGAUUAAAUUUUGUGCCAUUGGAGACACUCUUGUUUUCGUGUUCUUAGUGUAUAUUUUUCCAUGACCUGGAAAAUCUUAAAAUACCGGCUCUACUUAAAAAAAAAUUUCACAACUCCUUUGACUGGAAUUGAUUUCUCCUGUGACUCUCAGGUCUGUAAAAGGCAUUAAGGUGAGACUUAGCAUUGACCUUUAUUCUUUGCCUGGAGUAGAGAAUUUCCCUAUGGCUGGCUCAGGAUUUCCAAGAGGAAGACAACUGAAUGACCUAGCACAAUUGCCUUGGUCCUCAGCUCUGGGCUUAUCUUGAUUAGGAGGAAGUGGAUGUCUCGUUCCAAAUUUAGAGCAUAGAAUAGAGCCAGAUGUUUGAGAUCAUCACAAACAUUGACCCAUUGGAACUUCUGCCCCACUCACCACUUCAUGGAUAUUUACUUCAUGGAUACCUGGUUUUGUUCACCUUGACAGAGUGAAGAGACCUUUGGGUUCUCUUCCCAGGAAUUCUGUCCUAGCCUCAACAUGCAUAAAAAAGUUCAUUUCCCUUCUGAGUAUUGAAAGGAGGCCCAACACACACCUCUUGGAACACUUGUUGGCUUCUACCAAAGUGUCCAUCCCCUCCAAGUGUAAGCCUAGGAUCUUGAGGCUGGUAGUCAAAGUCAAGGCCCUUUAGGAUCCCUCCCCUUUCUCCUACCCCAUGGUUUAUUCCACUACACAAAACAGCAGCACUUAAAGGAACUACAAACUUUCCUGUGUCUCCAGGGUACUCCUGGCAAGCCUUCUGAUUAUUAGUGUGCCUUUGAUCAUGGUUAGUCAUUAUAGAAAUGUCUCCAAGUAGUAGACUUGAAAGCAGGUUUUAUACCUGACUCGUUUCCUUGUCCCAAGGUCCAGCACAGGGCCAACUAUACUGUAGAUAUUUGGGAAGUGCUUGCUGAUUGAAUGAAUGAAUUUGAGAGCAUUGACAAUGAUAGGGAGUUGGGGGUUUCCUUUUCUGCCAUACUACAUAAUUUAUGAGACCAUACACUUUGCCGAUAAUUGGGUUCCUCUUGCUAGUUCCAUCUGCAGCCAUGAACGAGGCUACAUUUCUUCAUGGAUCAAGUGCCCACUUGAGGGGCCUAUCCUGCAUAGUCUUCAAUUUGUAAUAUUGUCAGAAGCGUCCUGAAAGGGUAAGGGCCUUGCCCUGGUGCUUGUCUUUUCCAUUUGUUUCCAUUUGCUUUUCACUGUGUGGGAGAUUAUUUAAUUGAAAGUGGAGUCUCUGAGGCCAGUGUUGCAACAGAAAUAAUUGAAUGUAAAACCACAUGUGCUUUUGGGACUGGGACACAGAAAUUUAAUUUUAGUUUCGUCACUGCUUUGUAGGGUGAUCUAGGGAUGUCGCCUCUCUGGAACUCAUCCAUGAAAUCCUGACUGUACGAGGUGGAAGUUGGAGUAGUUAGAUUGCUUAAUCUCCAAGGCUCCUUCCUGCUCUGAUAUACCUUGUCUAUAUUUCCACAAUAUCAGAUUGAUGGAGGGCUGACUAGCUUGGUGUUGCUGGAAAGCGAUGUGGAUGGAGUUCUGGGAGAGGAUCCCAGUCCGUGUGAGCUCAAGGUCAUCAUUUAGAAACCAAAAGCUCAAAAAUGCUCUGAAACCACAGAUGGCCAAAUUCUCCCACCAGAGGUUCAGUACAUUUUUGCUCAAAAUUGUAAACUAAAAGCAGAAGUUUUGGGGUUGUUGGCAGGAUUCAUGGCUAGCUCUAACCUGGGUGGUGGGUAUAGGGGUGGCUUAUUCAAGGGUAAGGCCUUGUCUGAGAGCCACAUCACUGAGUGAGAGGCAUGUCCUUGGCGAGCCCACCCUGGCCAUCAUGAUGUAAAUAUCCCUUGGGUGGGUCCUGCUCAGGUACUGUGUCUUAAUGACACUCUAAAACAGUUCUUUAAACUCACCACAUUAUAGACAAUGGCAGUCUAUUGAAGGGAGCUGAAACUCACUCCCAGUAGUGACUUGCAGCCUACACUUUCUGAAAAAAUUCAGACAUAACUCAAUACUUAAGUUUCAUCCUUUUAAGGUAAAUAAUUCUAUGCUAUGAAUGGUUUCUAGUAUAUUCACAAAGUUUUACAAUCUUACACUCUCAAAUUCCUGAGUAUUUUCAUCACUCCCCCAAAAAAUCCCCUAUACAUUGUCAGUCACUUCCUGUUGUACACUGCCCCUCAUCCCACCCCAGGGCCACUAAUCUACUUUCUGUCUCUGUGGAUUUGAUUUUUCUGGAGUUUUCAUAUAAAUGGAGUUUACAACACGUGGCUUAUUAGAUCUGGCUUCUUUCACUUGGAACAAUGCUUUCAAGAUUCAUCUAUAUAUUUUUGAACAGUUAAAAAUUAUGAGUGUGUGUGUGUGUGUGUGUGUGUAUCUGCGUGUAUCUGCCUUCAAGCAGCAUACAGGCAAAACCACUGUGAGCUUGGUGGGAUCUAUGGACCCCUCCUUAGCAGAACAGAUGGAGGACUAGCUGGCCUGUUCCAGAUCUUCUCUAUUUCAUUAUCCCAGUUCAGUUUUGGUCUUUUAAGAAUUACACAUAGGGCCGGGGAUUUAGCUCAGUGGUUCCACCGCCUGCCUCACAAGCACAAGGUCCCGAGUUUGAUCCCCAGUGCCAAAAAAAAAAAAAAGAAAAAAAGAAUUAUGCAGACAUUUUAAAUUAAGAAUUAAAUCCAUUGAUAUUUCCAUUUUUAUUCCAUCUAUGCUGGCAGAUUUAAAAGUCUUUUCCCAGCCCAAGAUGACUUAAACACAUAUAUAUUAUUUUCUUGUCAUACCUGUUUUCACUUCUUACUUUUAUAGUUUUAAUUUAUCUGUAAGUUUUGAAUAGUGUGAGGUAAGGACUUUAUUUUAUUUUCCUCAUAUUGUUAGCAAGUCGAAUCACCCUAUAUCUUUUAAAAUUGAUUUAGAAACAAUAGUAUUAGUAUUGCUACUUUUUAUAUGCUGGCCUUUCUUUUCUGUACUAACCUGCUCUUUUUUCAGCUGCUAGCAUACUUAUAAAUUUCUUGCUGUUUAUGACACAAUUCAAUAUUGUUAGGAUGAGUUCAUAUUAUCACUCAUUUUUUAAAAAUCCCUGGUUAUUAUCAAAUGUAUGUUAUUUAAUUUGCUUUAUUUGUUAGUGUGAUGUGUUUAUUUUAUGUAACAUGUAUUGCUACAUUAAGUAAGAAUUUUUAAUUCUGCUUGGGCUAAUGGAAGCCAGUGGCUGUAUGACACGUCACAGAUAAAGUUAGUAGAAUAUAUGUGGACUGAUCAUAGAUGGAAAGGAUGGGAGGACCAAGAAAGGCCAGGUGUGGUCCUGCACACCUGUAAUCCCAGCACUCAGGAGGCUGAGGCAGGAGGAUCACCAUGAGUUUGAGGCCAGACUGGGCUACACAGUGAGUUCAAGGCCAGCUUGAACUCCAAGCUGGUUUUUUGAGGCUCUGUCUCAAAAAACCAAAAGAAAAAAAGGAAAGUACUAAAGAUAUGUAAGCCUUGAGACACUGAAUAUUUGUGACAGCUACAGCAUCCAUAGAUCAGCUCUGGCUGCCACCACAGAUCCUAAGGACGAGCACCACCUCUGUGAUGCUCUGUGAUGUGCCAGAGAACCACAAAGCCCUAGAAUCUGACAUCUUGAGGAGAUGCCACAAGCCCAGGCCCCCUGCUCCAACUGGGCAAGACUAGAAUGAAACUGAACAAGACCCUAACUAAUAUCAUACGCAUGCCAUUUUUUGUAUUUGGUUGACUGAGUCAGAAUUUGCAGGUUAAUAGUGUUGACGAGAGCGAACAUCCUUCUGGUUACUAAUGACAAUGGGAAUGCUGCCCAUAUCUCACAUUCGGCUUCCUGCUGGACUUGGCUUUACAUACAGUACAUUUGUCACUUUAAAAAAAUGUAUUCUUUUUUCCUCUUCUCUUGAUGGUGAUGAUGGAAUGUUGCAUUUCCUCAGAUGAUUUUUGUCAUCCAUCGAAAACAAUUAUAUGGUACUUCUCCUUUGGCAUACUCACAUGAUGAAUUAUAUUAAAGUUGAAACAUAUGUGCAACUUCAGUUUUGUUUUCCAUCUUUCUCUUCUUCACACAGAAGCUUCAUUGUGGUCCUGGGCUCUCUUCAACUCUCCUUUCAUCCUUUUAUCUCUUUGGCCUGUUAUUCUGAGUUCUGGGAGAUUUCUUUACAUUUGUCUUCUGACUUCUUGUUCCUCAAAGUCUGGACCUGGGACAGGCAGUCUCGACAGCAUCUGGAAGUUUGUUAGACAUGAAAAUUCUUGGGUCACACCCCAGACCUGCUGAGCCUGCAUCUGGAUUCUAAUGAGAUUCCCAGGUGACCAUCAGGUGACCUGGGUACACAGUGAGCUGGGAGGUGAGUGAGAGUCUGAUGGAAGAGGAGGCCCUUCCAGUCCCAGUGGUGAUGCAGAGCCUCCCACUAUUAUAGCAGUUGGAUUAUUCUAGUGGAAAAUUGGGAGGAGAUGCAGUUCAGCAGAAGGUUUUGAACCCCCAUCCAGGAAUGGAACCCACAUGCUCUUUGUGGCAGGACACCAGGGUGGGCAGCUGGUGCAGUGUGUGAUGAAAUCAAAUGAAAAAGACAGCCCAAAGUUUAUCAAAAUCUUCACAGGUGGCAUUAGUCCGACAAGAAAUAAUCCCUGUGUUACAUUUCUGAAGGGCCGUCUAUAUCCCCCCCAUGGGCCUCACCCAUACUCAUUUCUUUGACAGAUUUACAAAUGUCAAUUGCAUUUGUAUGAAAGCCUCUUGUCCUGAGCAGAUAGAGAGGACCAAAGAGAUUCUGAUAGAGCUGUUUGGUGUCAGAAGAAACUGGUGAGGUCGCUGAGAUGGAUGUGCUUCUUUUUCCCAGACCUGUGCCUGGGCUAAGAGAGGUAGUCAAGGGCCCGGAUUCCAUGAGCCAUUGCAUAUGGAGAGAUGCCAUCUUUUGCUGCAAUUUUUACUUUUUAUUAGUACACACUGGGAGGACGUAAUAAUCAUUCCUCGUGUGGAGGUGGUGCAGGUGCAUAACACGAUUCAGUUCUUUCUUCAGCCCCUUCCUCCCUCUCUGCCCCUUCUUCCAUCUCUUGGUCUCCUUCCCAUUGGCAAGUUUCUCUCUCUAUUUCCUAUGGUCUAUUUUUUAUUUUGCUCUUUAUUUAAAUUUGGGUUUCUCAUAUAAAAAUCAUGCGAUAUUUAAGCUCGUGUGUCUUGAUUUGUUUCACUUAAUAGUAUGGUCUCAAGGUGCAUCCACUUUCCUGCAGAUGACUCAGGUUUAGCCUUCUUAUACAAAAUGGAGAUGUGGGGCCCAGGGUUUAGCUCAGUGGUUCUGCUGCCUGCCUCACAGUGCAAGGUCCUGAGUACGUCCCUGUACCCCCCCCCCCCCCAAAAUGGAGAUGCAGUCUUUUAGGGAAAAAAUCAAAUUGGAUAUAUCCAGCUCUCAUCAGUUGUGGCAGGAAAACAAUCUUGGGAAGGCACAAAAAGCUACAGAAGUGAUUCUAAAGAGAAAAAGAAUCUGUAGGAUAAAUUGGCUUGUUCUUUGUUUAUUGCUACCAAACCCUUUACUCCCGGAGGAAUGUUGAAACAAUACCAAUGCAGAGCUCUUUUUAUGGAACUGGAAAACAUCCUACUUUUUAAAAUGGUUUCGUGAAGUUGUUGUCUCAACAGGAAAUUCUGGCCAUUGUCACACAUUCUUUUUGUUUAUUAUUAGUAAUAAUAACCCUUUGCAUCUUGUCAGGCUCUAAAUCUUAACAGCCUUUCCACACAAAGCAGGCAAGCUCCUUCCUGACAAUGACACGAGUGUAGCAGGGCAAGCAGCAUUAAUGUGCCCAUUUCAUGGACAGUGGUACUGAGGCCCAGAGGAGUGAAUGGACUUUCUCGAGGGCACAGUAUGCAGUCAAUGACCGCUGUAAGCUCAGACUUGUGUUUUCUCCCUGUAGGAGAGAUUUCUAUUAAACACACUUGGCCACGUAUCUUUAAUCCUUAAUCUUUUCACUCCAGUUAUCUGGCCUUUCUGCAGUGCCUGUGCCCAGAUCAAACAGUAAGCAGGGUCAUAACCCACAUGUAAAGAUGGCUCUCUGAAGUUUUAUGCCAAACACAAUGUGUGACUUUGGUAGUGUCCCUUUCUUCAGAUUAAAGUGGUCACUCAUCUCAGGCUCCCUGUACCUUGGCUGUGUAAAUCUGCUCCUAUGAAUCACACACCUUCAUUAAGCUUCUGCGAAGGAUCUACUGAAGCCCCCAUUAGGCAUGAUUCAUUAUAGAUCAGGAAGAACUGUUUAUGUUUGUUAUUUCCUAAGUUUGAUUUAUCUCACUUAUGGGGUGGAGGAAAGGCACUUUAUUCUGCUUUCUGUGCUUCUACUCCUUAUAUUUCCACACCAAACACCCCAAAUUUCCCCUUUUGUUCCCUUUAUUCUCCCAGCGCAAUGUAUAUGUUCUCUCUACCUAGAAUACCUUUGCCUUCUUCAUCUUCACCACCUUCUUCACCCUUCUUAUCCUUAAAGAAAUCCAGCUCCAAAGAGAGUCCUCUGUGAAGCCUUUCAGACUCAAUGUUACAAAUACUUGUUUUCCUAAAAGCAAGCUGAAUACAUCUCUGCCAUACCAUGAUCCUAUCACAGUGAGAAACCCGUUUCAUGUAGCUCCAUAUGUACUUGGAGUUUCCACUAGAUUGGGAACUACUUUGGGGCAGGAAUAACACCUUAUUCCUCUUUACAGCCCCUGAGCUUGAGACCUUGCAACUGACGAAAAUUCUCUAAGGGUUGAUCUAAGUUCCACUCCUGGGUAGUUUUAGUGCAUCAGUAUUUUUUGUUUUACAACUAGAUAUCACUUUAGUUUCUCAGAUUAGUUGAUGGGAAAGUCUUGUAGGGGACUAUUCACUAAACUUAGCUCCUUGAUUUAUCAUAGAUGCUGUUCCUUUAUGUCUCUCUGGUUGGAUCCCUUUUGGUGUACAGCUCCUUUGUUAACAUUCUUCAUGACUUUGUCCAGAACUAUCACAUCUGGAGGGAUUCUGAAUUUUCUUUGCUACUAGGGUAUUUUUUUUCUCCCAGCUUCUUCACAUUUCAGCAGUUAAUAUUCAAUAGUUCUCAACCUUGGCUGUAUAUUGGUGUUACUUAGGAAGCUUUAAAAAUACUUAUUUGAAAUUUACACGGAGUAUCUUUAUGUCUUUCAUGGAAUAUUAAGCUGCAUACUCACAGGGUAAGAUUCUGAGAGAUUUGGCAAGGAACAGCUAUAGGAAGACAGCAAACCUAAGAGAUUUUGUAGUCUCACAGGGAUGACAAAUGUUGGAAGUGUGACUAGCCAUAUUAGGUACAUCUCAUUGCAUGCCCUGGACAUUUAAAUGAGACCCCCAGAAAGGCCAUGUCUUAUUAUCUUUAAAAUAAAACUAAUUUCCCACUAGAGAAAAGCCAUGAUGUUCUUUGAAGGAAGAUAUAACACAAUCCAGGUUCUCAACAUUCUGUCUGCAAAGUCCAACAAACAAACACAAAAUAUUAGAAACAUGAAGAAGAAAGGAAAUGUGCACCAAACUGGAAGAAACAAUCAGUAAAAACAGAACCGGAUAUGACACAGAUGAUGGAAUUAGUAGACAAGGACUUUAAAAUAGCUUUAGCAAUAUGUUCACUUACUUGAAGAAAGAGAAUGAGUGCACAGAUGAGGGAAUAUCAACAGAGAAAUGGAAAUAAUAAAAAAGAACAAGUAGAUAUUCUAGACAUAAAAAGAUAAUAUCUGAAAUUUUAAAAUUUCACUAAAUUGGAUAACAGCAGAUAAGAUGCUGCAGAAUGAAUGCAGAGCAAUGGAAAAGGUAAAAAUAUGGGCACAUUUACAGAUUUUUUUUUCUCAGUACCUCAGUUGGGUUAUCACAACCAUAGUCAAUAGUCAUGAAUUAUGUUGAUAGUUGGCGCCUUUGAUUCAAUAUGAUGAGAAUGGCACUUCACCUCUGUGGUCUUCCUCCCCCAAACCUAUAACCCCAGUCUGACCUUGAGAGAGACAGACAAAUCUCAACUGGCAUUUCUUACAGAAUACCUAGUACUCUCAGACUUGCUAAGACAACAAGGAGGAAAAAAACCCAAAAGAAGGAAAGUCUGAGAAACCAUCAUAACAAAGAGGAAUCUGUGGAGACAUGACAGCUAAAUACAAUGUGGAGUCAUGGGGUGGAAUUCUGGAACAGAAAAAGAACAUUGGGUAAAAACUAGAGAAAUCUGAAUAAAGAAUAGGCUUUAGUUAAAAAUAAUGUUAAUUAAUUGUAACAAAUGUACCAUAUCAGUAUAAAAUGUUAAUAGUAAGGGAAACUGGGUUUAGGAUGUAUGCAAACUCCUAUGUUUGCAAUUUUUCUGUAAAUCUAUAACUUUUAAAAUAAAGAGUUUAAGAAAAUAAACUAACAAUAACAAGUGCUGUCAAACAUGGAGCAAAUGGAAUUCUCACUCAUUGCUGGUAGGAAUAUAAAAUGAGAUAGUUCAGAAAACAGUUUGAAAGUUUCUUGCAAAGUUAUACAUGUGUUUAUCUUUAUCAUGUAAUUGUGUAAUCCACCAGUGUCACUCUUGCAUCUUUAGCCAAGAGAAAUGAAAACAUAUGUCCUCAAAAAGACUUGUUUAGAGAGGCUGUAUUCAGAAUCAUCACAAACUGGAAACAACCAAAAUGUCCAUCCACUGCUGCAUAAAUAAAGUCUGUACAUUCAUACAAUGGAAUACAAUUAAGCAAUGAAAAAAAAUUAUAUCAUACAAAACAUGGAGGAAUCUCAAAAGGACUAUGCCAUGUAAAAGGAGUCAGAAACAAAAGAGAUCAUACAGUAUCAUUUUAUGUAUAGGCAAUUCUAGAACAAAUAAAGCUAAUCUUAGGUAGAAGAUAUUAGAGCAAUGGUUGGAUUUUGAGCUCCAAUAUCUGAGGAUGGGAAUUAUUAGGAAGAAGGAGGAGAGAUUUCUUGAAGUGAGAGAAAUGUUUUGUAUCAUGGUAAAGGUGUGAGUUACAUGGAUAAAUGCACUUGUCAAAACAUAUCAGGAUGCAUACUUAAAUCUAUUAAUUUCAAAGGACUAUGAGAAUAUCUCAGUCUUUAAAGAGAAGGUCAAAUUGCUGAAUGCUGGGAUUCUCAUUUAAUGAUUGCAGGCAUAGGCUUUGGGAUUUUUAAGUCAGAGUCUGGUAUCAGUGAAAUCUUACAGAGUCACAUCCUAAGUGGAUUAGGUUCAAAAUUCAACACAUACUAGGAAAUCUGCUUAUGUUCAAAACACUUUGAAAACCCUUCAGGACUAUGUACACAAUGUCAUGUGAUGUCAAACAGUAGUUCUAUGCACACUAGAAAUUCAGGACCACUGAAAUAGACUAAAGAGAGAAACAAGUCAUUCUCCCUGCAAAUAUCUGGGCAUAUUCUGUUUUUAAAAUCACUAGCAAGUCCCUAGUGGGGAUUAGCAGGGGUGAAGGAUUCCAAAGUUUCUCCUUACUUGCAAGGUUCUCUCUAUUAUAUUUAGAACAUUGAGUCUCUAUGUGGUUGGUGUUAGUUCUGUGCAUUAAUAUUUCUGAUUAUUUUCCAUCUGAGCAUACAAUAGGAUUGUAUGUCCCUGUUCUGGCCAGUGAAAUGGUAAGUGACAUUCAUUACUGCUAGGCAGAAGCAUUAAAGUGCUACAAAGGAUUCCUCAUCAUCUUUUCUCUCUACUGCAAUUACCAACAAAAUUCCAGAAGAUGAACAUUGAGUUUCUAAGAACUCGUGUGGUCAGAGACUCUAGCAACCUACAAGAGACAUGGAACACGAAUGAGAAGUAAACCUUUGCUGUUAUAAGCCAUUCGUAUUUGGAGUUGUUAUUGCAGCAAAACUCAGCCUAACCUGACUAACUUAAAAACCUUCAUACGUAUGAAUAUACAUAUGCUUCUUGUUGUGAAGACUUUUAAAAAGUGGAAUUACAUCUGAGAGGCAGAGGAGAGUUCUAAAGCAAGCUGGCAAGUUAGAUGAGGAUGAUGCAACCUCACUGUAAUUAUACCCUACCUUGCCUAUUUCCAAGCAGAAUCUGUGGCAGCUUAGCAAAUCCAAAUACACACUGGCACACACAGUAACUAAAAUAACAAUGGGAGGGAUAUGAAUCCACUCAAGGAAAAUGGGAAAAGGGUUGUACCUAAAAGUUUUGCCAAAAGCCACGAAUGAAAGAUUGAAUCAUGGAUCGGGGAAGACAUUUAGGUAGUAAAAGAAAUUUUUGGUACCAAAAGGCUUCAGAUGAGAAGACUGGGAGAGAGGAGACGAAUGUUUAUGCAGUGCCUUGUGUGUACCUUAAACUGUGUUAUAUACAUUGAAAAUCUAAUGUCUUUUUCAUUCUCAUUAAAACUCAGUGAAGUAGAAACAGGCUCAGAGAAACAGAAUAAGCUCUCUAAAGUCACAGUGGAAGAGCAAGGAUUCAGAUCCAUUGGUGCUCAUCUUGGAGUGACAGGACGCUGAGUUUGGCAGGAUGCACUCACCACCAUUUGCUUCAGGCGUGGCUGCAAUUUAACAUGGCAACAAGCUAGCACUGAAGUCCUAAGAGUUCAGAUGUAAAGGUUUGAUGGAGAGGCCCAAGGUAUUCAGAAGGUCUGUCCCACGCAGAAUAGACUUCCUGUUCUGUCCCAAGGGUCCAGGGCUCCUUGGUAGUGUCCUUCUUUCUUGUCCUUGCAUUCCAGGCCCAGAUGCAAACAGCUGUGUGUUUCCUCCACCCUGUGGUGACUCAUACUGGGACAAAAAAGCUACUUCUUUGCUUGAUUCCCUGUCCCCAAAUCCUAAUCUGGGGGAAGCAGCCUUAAACUCCCUGAACACAAGACCCUGUCUGGGUGGCUGGCGCAUGAAAAGGUGGGGUUGUUCUGAUGCUGUCCCGAGAGAGCGGGGUCCAGAACAAAGAGGAGAUUCAGGCUGGAGAAUAUUUUCUCUCUGGCAAAGCUCCUGUGGCCAUCUGGUAGAGGGGCUGUUAUUCAAACCUCUGGAUCGUGGUCUGUUUGUUUUUUAGGAGUUUGCAGCUGAUUAUGUUCAUCAAAAUCCCUACAACCAACUGUGCUCCCUGGCUUCUUUCACAGGCAAACCUGUGGAGCCAACACAUCCUCUGGACUUGGUUUGCAGGUCUUUUGCAGGGAACCAACACCAUCACUCUUCUCCUAGAAACAAGAGGCUCUAGGCCGGGACAAGGCCUAUCACUUCUGGACAUCUAGACCAGCCACCAAAUGGUCUAGCUGACUCAACCUGGGAAGCUGGGACAAAGAAGGGGAAUCAGGAAAAUCAGAAACUCCUGUGGCCAGGCAAGCUCCAGUGACCAAGGUGUGAUCAUCCCAGCGCUGAAAAGAUCACACCAACCCUGUGUCUCCCACACCAACCGAAGUGUCCCCACUGUGCAAGAAGUUGGGGUGUAAAGACCUCAGAGAGAACUAAGUUGGAGUUCAGAUCCAAACUCCAUUUCUUCUGUAACAUGGCAACUGAGUUUCUGUUCAUUCCUUUGGAGAUUGAGGACAUAACACCUUAUCUCCCUGGGCUGUCGUAUGUUCAUAAUGUUCACAAUAAUGUAUGUGAAAGGCCUGAGACCGUAUCUGUACCUAGCAGAUUCUCAAUAAGUAUUGUUAACUUCU